CCGGAGGAGUUUCAGUGCGUCCGGUCUAGCGAGACUGUGGCAGCUCUGCAGGGACUGCCAAAAGCAUUGCUGGUUAGCGCUGGUUCUGGUGGGGUUGUGUGAUGUGGAUGCCGUGUCCGCUGGCCGUAGGACUAAAUCACUAAGCUCAUUCAUACAGGCCACUGAGCUGACCUCGGUGUAAGAGCUUCUAGUCAGCACUGACCUGGACUGAAGCUGAACCAGUCAGCUAGAGAUUAAAGGCUCUGCAUGCCAUUUACCAUUCCCCUGAGGCAUCCAAUCCUCCUGCAAAUGGCAGCUUCCUGAUUUCCACAGAUCAUUAUGAAGCUAACUCCAUUUUACUCAAGUCAUGCCCUUUUGUUCGGAUGAACAGGGAAUAACAACCCACUUCAGUGCCCCGCUUUGGCUUUAUGCGUAGAGGUAGUGACCCAGGUAAAUAAUCAAUAGACUAGGUUAUUUUUAAUGCUACCUCUUGAAUGCACUCAGCCAUAAAGGAUGUAGGUUUCUUUCUAAAUCAAACUGCCAGGAGUUCUGAAUCUGCUGCCUUUUCUCCUGACCCUGCAGAAGUCUCCCGCACCUGCCACAGGGCUGUAUUAAGCAAGUGGGAUGCUGCCAAAAUGAACACUGUGGCCUGAACCAGAGCAGAGAAAGGCCAGAGCUCAGGGUAAAGCUAUAACUUGUCACUGGCCUGAACUUUAUGGUAGCUAUUCAAAGGAAAGGGAGGGUUUUUUUAUCUGCUCCCUGACUCCAAAUCUUUGUCACAUUAAGUUGAUGAUGACCCCCUGUUGGGUAUAGUCAGUAGGAAGCCAGGGUCCAAUGGCAAUUUGCUGAACAUCUGGCCUAAGUCUGCAGCUGGUAUAAAUCACAGUUCUGCUGACGUCAAUGGAGCUAUGCUAAAUUUGCACCAGCUGAGGAUCUGGUCCCUAACCAGUAAAUGGAGUACUCUUUGCUCAGCUAAUGCUCCAUUUAUCUUUAGCAGGGCAUUGCUUACUAGUCCAGUCCUUGUCCCAGGUUGCAUGCACAUGGGCAUGUUAAAAAAACCUGAGAAUAAGACCAAGGCAAUAGCAGUGUUAGAAAGGAACGGAUGUCUUUUUUUUCUAGAGAGGAGGCUGACCUCACACUUCAACCAAGAUGUAUUUAAAUAUCACCAAAUUACGGUACAUUUGUCACUUGUCCAUGAGACACUGAAAGUGGUAUCAGUUGUGCUUUAACAUGCUCUGUGUUGAUCGCCCUCCCACACCACAUUACAUGUGAUAGACUGCGCAGAACAGUGCACCUCUAUGACUCUGGCUGGGGUCAGCAACCUGCUGUCAUAGGCCAGCCUGAAGAACUCAGGCAAAAAAAGCCCACUAUACAUUGGUUUGCUUUGCCUAAGUUGGGGCCUCUCUGCAAGUCUUACUUAUUUAUCAGAUCAGCUCGUCAUACCAGAAAGCCUGUGCAGAGAUGCUUGGUCUGGCCUGCGUUGGCUGAAAAGUAAUCCUAUCCUAUUCACUUUGCUCCAGUGUAUUGCACAAUGUACAACACUUACAGGCUGGAAGACUCUGGCAGACUUUCUGAGAUGUGCUGGGUAGCAUUUCCCCAAUUGCCAUUGUCAACAGAUUGCACAACAUCAGAGAAAAUAAUGCCUGGCUGUAAUAUUAUUUUAGUGUUAACCAUGAACUACAAGCUUCAUUGAAGGGAUUCUUGAACGUCCAGCUUUUCCAGUUAGAUAUGCCUGGUGUGUUCAGUAAGAUGAAGUGUAUUGGAAAAAUGAAUGAGGAACGCAUGAUACUGAGCAAUAGUCUGCUCUGUGGGUUUCAGAUAUUGUGAAAUGGUCUCGAUAAACCAUUUCACACGUCUGAGACAUUGUACGGUACGACUCCAUGUGAACAAUAGCAACAGCUUGUAGUCUCAGGUCUGGUUUUUCUCUGCUAUAAAUCAGGAGUCACUCUGAUUCAGACGGUGGUGCUGUCCUACCAUAAACAAACCAGUAUGAUAACCUGUAUUUACUUUAUUCUGCGCUAACUUUUCAAACAUGUUAUUUGGCUCAAUAAAUGUUUGGUGGUCUCAGUGUAGCAUCUAGUGGAGAGAGGGUAGAUCACAGAGUGCCUUCACACUGAGGAUGCCUUUCACUUUUACACAUUGGAGGGGCAAAAAUGUGACGAGCUGCAGUGGGCAGAACAUCCGCUUCCCUAAGUCAUUCAGCAACAGCUCAAAGGGUUACUGAGCAGUGACUGCCGUUAGCCAAGUACAAUGAGGUGCUUGUAAUCCUGAAAGAGUAGGAUGAUAAAUCUGGCCAAAGUCCAGCUCAAGAACGGCUCCACGCCUGAUGUACACAAAUGCUCUGUGGGCAAAUUGUCCCUUGAAAGCUUCCCUCCACCUCGUUUUUAUUCUGAUCUUUCUCCUGCAGCUUUUAUAAGUGUUUCCAGCUUGGCUGGCACUCAGGUUUGCUUUUCAUCCUCUUCUUUUCUUUCUUUCUUUUUUUCUUUUUUUUGCUGAAUGCUGUUUCCAGCCUAAGAGCUGAACCAGGGCUAUUGACCUGCAAAGGGGCAAAUUCUGUCCUGACUUAUGCCCUGUACCAUCCCAUUGAUGCCAGUGUUAAUUCACUGAUGGAUGCACUGGAAAUGGCUGAACAGGAUUUGACUCAGGCUGUUUCUCUGAGGACUGAUCUUGAGUUCCUUGCCUACCCAAGUCUCCCAGAGGAGUUAGUGGGUGUGCAAGGAAUUCAUGAGUAGGUUUCUACCACGUCCUUUGUGGCUUUCACCCAGGAUUAGGACACUUUUCUUGAGUCAUAAAAAGCCCCAGAAGACCCUAAAAAUGCAGUUGUCAGUGCAAUUACUCAAAAGGUACAAACUGCUCAUAGAUCCUUGGCUUCUGAGGAAUGCCAAGCUUAAAGAUUUUAACAUACUUCUUUUUUUUCCCCUGAAGAUCGUAAAUAUUUAUGGAGUAUAAACAAUUCAGGAUAAAGUCUGUGGCAAAAAAAACGCAGGAGGAAAUCAAUUUUUAAUAACCAAGAGACUGAUGAAGUAAUUUACAGUAUGUAAUCAUUCGUUAGGAAAAAUAUUUCCCUCGGCCUUGACUGGGUGCUUUUUAAUGUGCUGGUUUUCCAAUUGUCCACUAAAAGCACAGUCCCAGUAUAUCCGUAAGACUAGAUUGUGCCUCCAGGCACAGUGCCCGGGGGGACCUCCAGAAGAUGCGGCACUCCAGAAGUCGUUCCCAAAGGUGGUGUUACUCAGCAACGAUUCUCGGAGGCACAAUUUGCUCCCUGCUUCCUCCUCAUUCAAGGAAGUGUUGUUGCCACUGGUCUGGUAUUACUAGUGACUGUUUUGACUAAGUGGCAUUGACUGACACAUUGGCCUUCAGUCCAUAUUCCUCUCUAUCCCCCUCCUUGCCCAGCUGUGCUGCAAAGGAGUUAGCCCAUUGUAUGCAGCAACUGCUUAUUCCUCAACAUCAUGCUGGGAUUGAACGACCUAAAGACUGAGUGGCUGACUGUCCUGGAGGGGCAGCCCCUUUCUCCAUGCUUGCGCCAAGACAGGCUUCAGUUGUGAUCAGAAACAAAAAGGCUGAUGCAGGCAGAGGUUAUUCUCAUUGUAUUUCUGUCCAGACAGUAGAGGAAAGUACCAAAUAUUUCACAAGAGACUAUGUCCUUAUGAGAUUUCCAGCUAUGCUUUGCACACGAAGAAGGCUCAGACGCUGAAGAUGAGUAUCUAAAAAUGGAACCUGCUGAUAUAGAAAGUGCAUUCCAAAGGCAAAGGCGCUUGCUGGGGUGACAUGGGGUAAACUCGAGACAGAAUUUGGCCCAGAGCAUAUAGCUUCUUCUGUUCUCAUCAACUUAUUUUCUCCAUCAGCGAGGGUUGUCUUCUAAACAGAACACUUAGAGAAACAAACUGCGAAGCUCUCUACUGGCAACCUUCACAGUACAUAAUAAUGACAAUGAUGAUUAUAUAAUAAUAAUAAUAAUAAUAGGGCUGUCAAACGAUUAAAAAAAUUGAUCGCGAUUAGUUGCAUGAUUAAAAAAAUUAGUCGCAA